ensembl:lncRNA
AUACAACAACGUGGGUAGACUGAAAUUAAGUGGAUAGAAAAAGAUAUACCAUGCAGAUAGAAAGCAGGAGUGGCUCUACGACAUCUGGCCAAAGUAGACUUCAGAGCAAAGAAAACUUCAGACAGAGAGGGACCUUAUGUGUGACAGAAGGCUUGUGCCACCAGGAAGACACAAAGCAGCAAGAUAAACCACUGCUCUGGCUUCAAGGGCACUAGGUGCUCCUGCUCACUGGACUGUGACAGCCCUUGAGGAGUCAUACCUGCUGGCCUUGCUCCCGCUGCCCCAGGAGGGGCUUGAGAAAUGUUUCUCCUAAAUUUAGUGAACGUCCACUGCUGGGCAGUCUGGCUCAUGAGGACCCCCCCACUCCUGGAAGGGCCUCAGAAGAGCUGUUCAUGGUGCCACGGUAGGCAGUCCCCGCCAAGACGUCUGCUGCCGCAGAGCACGUGCUCGCUUUGGACUGGAGGUGGGCUGGGGCUACUUUCCCAAAGUGCUCUCCUCUGGGGCUUGACUAAUGUCAUCCCUUGGGUAGCUGGUCCCUGAACGUGGGAGUCUGCCCUUCAGUGGUGCCAGGGUCCUCUUCGUUGACCCUCCCAGGAAACCUGGGGGGUCUUAUGCAAAUAACAUCCCAGCUCUCCUGAGAUACACAUGCAAAUUAGGCCCCAUGGUGACCCCACACGCGAAACCAUCUCCAUAAAUAAUCCCACCUUUAAGAUACACUGGGGUCAACCAGUAUACCAUUUGAUUAAGUAAUGCGCUGAAAUGCAGCAAGAAGUCCCAUCUCAUGACUGGAACGUAAAUCUGAGAGAGACUGGUUGGGAAUAAAUAGACACCUGUCUUGGUUGUAACACGAUGGUGUUUGGUGGUUGGAAAGGAAAAGAUUUACUUGGGAAUAUCUCCAUAGUGACAUGAAAUCCCUGGUACCAGCUAAUGAUUUCUGGGCUCCUGGUUUAUAGCUCAGGAUAUGCCUAGUGCCCCAAAUUAUAUUAUAGGACGUGAUGGUGGCAGGCUUGCCCUGUCAUCAGCAUUCUCGGCGGAGAAGCCAGACAAGCCAGACGGCGGUUGCAGAACAGAGAUUCUUCUGGGGCCUUUAGAGGGAGAGCCUGGAAUCAGGCCUCCCCACCCAUGAAACUCAACGUCCGGUUCAAGCAUUUCUGGACCACAGGCUCCUGGUGAGUCCUGGUUCAUCUGUCUAGGGAGCCAUUUUCACCGCUGUGGUCGGACUUUAAACACCUGUGGUCAUCUUCCUGCAACCCCCCAACCAAGGCCUCCUCGUUCUGGCCCAACCCCCAAGCCUUCAGGCGGCUGCGCCAACCACACCCCCGGAGACUCCAGCUGUGCCACCACUGCCUCUCCAUGGGGGGGAAGGGGUGUCGGGGGGGUGGGGGUCAGUUGUGCCUCCUGGUUUCUCGUCCCUGUUGGUCUUGGCCCUCCUUUGGUGGCUUCUGCUCUGGUCCCUAUCCUCAAGCUUAGGGUUCAUCUUGGUUUUUGCUUGUCUUCUGGAACAUUCCCUCUGCAUGGCCCCCUGGCUGCUCUCAGUCUUCACCCACCCCGGCUAAUUGCCUCUUGGCCCAGAGCCCCCACUGACGCCCUCAUCCAUCCUCCCUCGGGAGGAGUCACUCCCAAGUCCAGUUUAGUCUUUCCAUCAGUCCACCAUGCUGGGAAGACCAACCUCCGUGUCCUGCACACCCCGCCGAGUGGCCUUCAUGCUGAGGGUGGGAGGGCAUGGUGGUUAAAAGUGGGCACCCUGGAGCCAGCCACUGUCUGGCUGCCCACCCCAGCUUUCCCUCCCUCUAGCUGGGAGUCCCAGGCAAGUUGGUGGCACUUUACAGCCUUGGAUUCCAUGUCUAUUAAACGGAGAUCGUGGUAGUAGCUACCUGAGGGGGUUGUUGGGAAGACUAAAGAAAUAAUUCACAAGACACAUUUAGAACAGGGCCCAGCAUAUAGUAAGUGUUAGGCAUUUACUAGUUUUCUAAGUUAAUCUGUAAAAGCUAAGCCAGCUGUAAGACACUGUUUCUGUAAUUUCAGGAGCGCUAUUAUUGUGUCAUGCUUAGUGUGCCCUGCCACACCUGAACCAGAAGCGUAAAAUCAAAACCAGGCUUAGGGGUCGGGGAGGGAAUUCCAGAUGCUUUUCUAUCUGUAAUUUUCUAAAAGAGCUCUCUCUCCUAAAGAAGUUGAACUUCAUGUUAAGUCCUGAAGCAGAUGAUUUUUUUUUUUUUUUUAAUUUUGGCUGUACCCACAGCAUGCAGAAGUUCCUCAGCUAGGGAUUGAACCCAAGCCACAGCAGUGACAACCCUGGGUCCUUAACCUUCUGAGCCACCAGGGAACUCCAGUUCUUGAAGAACACCUGUGGAAAACAUGCCCACAAAAAGCUGGUACCAUUUUCUCUAAUUCUUAUUCUUCUUUGUCAACUGACUCAGGAUCUUGGCUCCAAAGCUCUUGUGAUGGGAGCUUUCUCUGUUGCUGCUGGCUCCUUGUUGUCGCCCCACUGGGCUCUUAUCCCUCAGGGUUGAGCUCCUAUCACUGUCUUAACCACAGGAGGCCUCUACACCUUGCCAAGGAGGUUUGCAUUCCUUGCAAGGAAGGCGCUAAUUUAUUUUGCAGUGUUCUUGUGCCACAAGUUAGCUUCCUUUCUCUCACAGAUGUGGGAAGAAAGAAGUGCUUCAAAGCUCCAUGCUGACCUGGAGGGCAGACACAUUCCCCAGGGAGGCCCGAAGCCCCCGUGGUGCCAGUCUUUGCCCGUCCCCACCCAGGAGGACCCCACAGGCCACCUCCCUUCCCCUGCCAUGCACCUGCCCCUUCCUCUCUGGGCUGCUUCUGGGGCUGGUGUCUCAGGCUUUGACCUGGGACUGUUCCCUGCAGUGGCAGAGGCCCUGGCCUCCCAGUGAGAUCUCUGCAGACUGAGCCCCACCGCAGACACUCUAGAGGGAGGGACUGGGAUAGAAGGGAGGGUCUCUGCUUCCUGGGCCUGGCAGUGGCAGGGGGCGGGGUGGGGGGUCAGAGAGGCUUCCUACCAGGGUGAUGCCUGACCUGACUUUUAAAACACAAGCGAGUAGGUGUCUACCGUGGACAGUGGGGUGGGCUGGAGUGGGAUGAGAAUUCCAGGUAGAGGAAACACCUGGACCAGAGACAACGCGGACAGGGGUGUGUACGGGGGAGGUGAGGUGGUGAAGGGUGCCAGGACCCCUGGGCUCACUGGAAGGAGCCCUGGCUCCCCAGGAAGCUGAGCUUUAUAUUGAAAACCGUCCAUUCCAGCUGGUCUGACAGCGCUGGGUCUUCUGCGUGUCGAAGAACAGGAAAGCUCCCGCCAGAGAACAGGAUCAUCCCUGGGGUCCAGGAGGUUCGAAAACCAAACCUUUAACUUUGGACACCUUCCCCAUUUGUCAGUGGCCGGCCCGGCUCGGCUGCGGCCUCUGUGCCUGGCAGGAAACUGAAGGACCCUUUGGCGGGAGCCUCUGCCUGGAGAACCGGGCAGGUGUUCAGAGGGAGGCCUGACACGGGACUAUAAUUAAAUCGUGCUGACCCGCCUCUAGGAAGGCCCUCCCUCCAGGCAGGGAUUCCAAAGAAUCAUCCUGGACAGAUCCUCUCGUGAUGUAUAAUUACCCACGAUGAUUAAUUAGCUCGCCAGACCUUCGUAUUUAAUUAAUGAAUCGGGCAUUUAGUCAGUGUCUCUAAGUGACAGGCACUGCACAUCCCACAGGGGAGGCGGAGAGGGAAACGCGGUCCCCGCCCUCCAGGCGCUCACGGCGGAAGAGAGGAAGCCGUGAACACCCCCCCAGUGACGGUGAUGCGCGCCUGUAAUCACAGCUGCUGCCCCGUGCUGGCCAGGGCUGGAGUCUGGAAGGAUGAGUAGGCGUUGAGUUGGUGGGCAGAGUGGAAGGAACCUUCUAGGCAGG